UGGGGAAUAUUGGACAAUGGGCGAAAGCCUGAUCCAGCCAUGCCGCGUGUGUGAAGAAGGUCUUCGGAUUGUAAAGCACUUUAAGUUGGGAGGAAGGGCAGAUUCCUAAAACGAGAAGGUACGGGGUUAAGGGCAGCAGCAGAACUUCGA
rnacentral:rRNA from 1 species